GACGAACGCUGGCGGCGUGCUUAACACAUGCCAGUCGAACGCUGAAGCUUGGUGCUUGCACUGGGUGGAUGAGUGGCGAACGGGUGAGUAAUACGUGAGUAACCUGCCCUUGACUCUGGGAUAAGCCUGGGAAACUGGGUCUAAUACUGGAUACGACAUGUCACCGCAUGGUGGUGUGUGGAAAGGGUUUUACUGGUUUUGGAUGGGCUCACGGCCUAUCAGCUUGUUGGUGGGGUAAUGGCUCACCAAGGCGACGACGGGUAGCCGGCCUGAGAGGGUGGCCGCCCACAGGGGGACGACGAGAGGGCCCAGCCGCGGAGGGGGGACAGGGGGGGGAAUUAUUGCAAAGUGGGGGGGGGCGGGAGGCGGCGGCGCCGGGGGGGGAAGGACGGCUUGGGGGUUAAAAACCUCUUCCGGCAGAAAAGAAGAGAAAGGGACGGUACGUAAAGAAGAAGCGCCGGCUAACUACGUG
rnacentral:rRNA from 1 species